rnacentral:lncRNA from 1 species
CGACAAACAAGAGACACCCAAGCCCCUAGACACUCCGCCGCCUCCUGGGAGGCGGGAACGGGGUGAGGAGGAGCGCCCGGGCCGGGCUGUCCGGGAUUCGGGAGCGGGAUGAGGAGGAUUGCCCGGGCCGGGCUGUCCGGGAUUCGGGAGCGGGAUGAGGAGGAGCGCCCGGGCCGGGCUGUCCGGGAUUCGGGCGCGGGAUGAGGAGGAGCGCCCGGGCCGGGCUGUCCGGGAUUCGGGAGCGGGGUCUCAACACUUGUAGAGACUCAGAGUGCACUCCAGAGGGGUUUCAAACGAGAUGGCUCCAAUUUGGCAAGAAGGAAGGACGGGUGUUUGCACACAGGCCACCCUCAAAAUCAGCAGUACUAAACUCAAAAAUCAGGAGCAGCUGAAGGAAGAAAAUGGAUUAGAGGCAAUUGAAGCAAUUACAAGUGUACGAUACAAUGCAAAGCCCUCUCGAAAGCCAGUCCUCUGUAACCACUAGCCCACAACACCCCACCCCAGAAAGAUUGGUGUUCAUGACUCAGAUGUAAAUAUGAACACAUACAGACACAAAAAAUGGUUUUGCUAAACCCCCUUGUCAUGCCUGCCCAGAGGGCAACUAAUGAGCUGGUGUAGCUCACCUAAUGUGCUGUGCUGUGUAUGCAGAACACCAGAGGAUUCUGGUCACACACUACUGUUCCCUGCUGCUCUCCCUGAGCAGUAGCUAAGGAAAUCAAGAGGUCCCUUCCAUAUGUUUCUGGUUUACUUUUGAUAAGCUGCUUCAUUUCUAAACGUCUACUUCCACAAACGCAACCUCUACACACCUCACAAUGUGGAUUUAGAAACCUGCAAUUUAUACAAAAGCUCUGGUCUAUAAGAAGCUUUGAGCUCUGUUUUGGCUCCUCUGAACAGCAGACUUCUCCAAUCUGUUUGCAGUCAUUGAACCAUUAGUGUUUCUGAAGUGCCCAAGUAGAGCAGUGAGGAUGCAUAACAUGCAGGAUUAUACUUUCUUCCAAUUUUUAGCA